GACGAACGCUGGCGGCGUGCUUAACACAUGCAAGUCGAACGGAAAGGCCCUGCUUUUGUGGGGUGCUCGAGUGGCGAACGGGUGAGUAACACGUGAGUAACCUGCCCUUGACUUUGGGAUAACUUCAGGAAACUGGGGCUAAUACCGGAUAGGAGCUCCUGCUGCAUGGUGGGGGUUGGAAAGUUUCGGCGGUUGGGGAUGGACUCGCGGCUUAUCAGCUUGUUGGUGGGGUAGUGGCUUACCAAGGCUUUGACGGGUAGCCGGCCUGAGAGGGUGACCGGCCACAUUGGGACUGAGAGACGGCCCAGACGCCUACGGGAGGCAGCAGGGGGGAAUAUUGCAGAAUGGGCGGAAGCCUGAGGCAGCAACGCCGCGUGCGGGAUGACGGCCUUCGGGUUGUAAACCGCUUUCGCCUGUGACGAAGCGUGAGUGACGGUAAUGGGUAAAGAAGCACCGGCUAACUACGUG
rnacentral:rRNA from 1 species